UUGAAAGGGAAACGAUUGAAGUCAGUCGUACCAGCGGGAAAUCAACCUUUCGAGUGGGGGUUUUGGAGUUUUGAAGAGUUUCAAAACCCUUGAGAUUUCAAAAAUUUCGCUCUUUUGGUGUACUUUCUCGUGGGUAGGUUAACAUCGAUUUUGAUCAUCAUAAAAAGAUUGGAGGAAUGUAGCUUCGAUCUUGUAUUGAAGUGUUAUAGCCUUCGGUAAAUGUGAUGAUUAGGAUCGAGGAUUGCAACGAAUACCCUUUUGGGCUAUCCGCCUGAUCUCUGAUACGUGGCCUUGGUAUCGAAAGCUUGCUUAUGGUAUUAAGGUAUUACGGUCAAAAGGUUAGAACGGAUUACAUUCGUUAAGGAUGUUGACGUA
rnacentral:rRNA from 1 species